rnacentral:rRNA from 1 species
CAGCAGCCGCGGGAAUACGAAGGGUGCAAGCGUUAAUCGGAAUUACUGGGCGUAAAGCGUGCGCAGGCGGUUGUGUAAGACAGGUGUGAAAUCCCCGGGCUUAACCUGGGAACUGCAUUCAAAACUGACAGACUAGAGUAUGGUAGAGGGUGGUGGAAUUUCCCGUGUAGCGGUGAAAUGCGUAGAUAUAGGAAGGAACACCAGUAGCGAAGGCGACCACCUGGACUAAUACUGACACUGAGGUGCGAAAGCGUGGGGAGCAAACAGGAUUAGAGACCCCCGUAGUCCCUGUCUCUUAUAC